rnacentral:rRNA from 1 species
AUUGAACGCUGGCGGCAGGCCUAACACAUGCAAGUCGAGCGGACGAAGGGAGCGUGCUCCUGGAUUCAGCUGCGGACGGGCGAGUAAGGCCUAGGAAUCUGCCUUGUAGUUGGGGAUAACGUCCGGAAACGGGCGCUAAUACCGCAUCCGUCCUGAGGUAGAACGGGGGGGUUCUUCGGACCUCGCGCUAUCAGCUGAGCCUAGGUCGGAUUAGCUAGUUGGUGGGGUAAGGGCCUACCAAGGCGACGAUCCGUAACUGGUCUGAGAGGAUGAUCAGUCACACUGGAACUGAGACACGGUCCAGACUCCUACGGGAGGCAGCAGUAGGGAAUAUUGGACAAUGGGCGAAAGCCUGAUCCAGCCAUGCCGCGUGUGUGAAGAAGGUCUUCGGAUUGUAAAGCACUUUAAGUUGGGAGGAAGGACAGUAAGAUAAUACCUGCCUGUUUUGACGUUACCAACAGAAUAAGCACCGGCUAACUUCGUG